rnacentral:rRNA from 1 species
UACGGGGGGGGGUAAGCGUUGUUCGGAAUUACUGGGCGUAAAGGGCUCGUAGGCGGCCAACUAAGUCGGACGUGAAAUCCCUCAGCUUAACUGGGGAACUGCGUCCGAUACUGGAUGGCUUGGAUUUGGGAGAGGGAUGCGGAAUUCCAGGUGUAGCGGUGAAAUGCGUAGAUAUCUGGAGGAACACCGGUGGCGAAGGCGGCAUCCUGGACCAAUAUUGACGCUGAGGAGCGAAAAGCUAGGGGAGCAAACGGG